rnacentral:rRNA from 1 species
UACGUAGGGUGCGAGCGUGUCCGGAAUUAUUGGGCGUAAAGAGCUCGUAGGCGGUUCGUCACGUCGGCUGUGAAAACCUGAGGCUCAACCUCAGGCCUGCAGUCGAUACGGGCGGACUUGAGUACUGCAGGGGAGACUAGAAUUCCUGGUGUAGCGGUGAAAUGCGCAGAUAUCAGGAGGAACACCGGUGGCGAAGGCGGGUCUCUGGGCAGUAACUGACGUGAGGAGCGAAAGCGUGGGGAGCGAACAGG